rnacentral:lncRNA from 1 species
GAACAUUCUCUAACUGGUUGCUAAGCCACUCUAUGCCCAAAGCAAAGCUUCAUCUAACAGACCAGGACCCUAUGGAAACAGCCAUCGAGUGACCCAAGGACGUCACCAUUCUCCCCGCUGCUGUAUAGCACUGUCCUGACACACCAUGAACCCAAGUCCCUGUAUCUUCUCAAGACAUAACAAGACUCAUUGUACACAGUGAAGAGACUCCAUAGAAGGUUCAAACCUGGGCCUGGUUGUUUCCCGUAGCUUCAGAUGGGGGAACUGCCAGGCAAGUGUAAGAUGGUGGGAUCACAGUGGAUCUAGGCCUGCAUGAAGUACUGGGAACAAAAUGUCUCCACUCCCUCCUGAGAUCUCUCCCACUACGAGCCAGGCAUUCAGACUUGGCCAGCAAGAACAUUAAACAACUUGGCCAAGGACAUGAGGCUAUUGAGAGACACAUCCGAGAUGCACGAAAGCAUCUGGGUGUUGGGAAGGUUUGUGGUCAAAAGUAAGAAAGAUGGCUCCAGUCCGCUCCAGCAGAAGCACGUUUUAAGGAAGAGACUACAACCCACAGCACCUGAGGAAAACAACUGACAUCCGUAAUGCCCUGUUACAUAGCGGGCACAACCAGUGGCCCCCAAGGUUGUCACAUACUUGUUAUGCUCUCUAAGAGAGGAAGCCGAAGCUUGAAAGGAUGAUACAAUGUAACCUGUUGACAAGCUGAGACUGAACUCUGCUCAGCAAAACCCUCAAUCUCUGUUCCGCUCCCAGAUGGUAGUCACAUGUCUCCCGAGUGUAUUGCCUUCUUCCUUCCAGCCACCCAACCAGAAGCAACAGGUAUAGAUGGGCACUGUAGCACUGUAGCAUCAGCUACAAUGUAUCAAUGUCAGAUAGAAAUGCCACUAGUACAAGACAGCAGGUUAGACUGGAAGACACACAGCAUUCCAGUCUUACCUGGUGACCACUGAGUAGAUGUUUACUGAGAGUCGCUCAUCACUCCACAGAAUCAUCUAGAACUGUUGAUAAUGACUUGGCACCCUUCCCCAGGUGGUCCCACACAGUGUCACCGAACAUGCCCUGUCUUGUCCCUUGAUCCUGUGAUCCUAAAUCAAGAGAGCCUUGAUCUUUAUCCGACAGAGCUGCUGAGAGAUGCAUGAGCUGAAGAUCUCACAAGCAAUGCAAGCGACAUGAUUAAGAUGCUCAGAUCCCCCUCAUCUUCAACACACAACUCAGGAAAUGCAGGCAACUACUGCGGUCUGUUGGCGUGCAGGGGUAUCCUGACAACAAUGAGGAAUCCAGACUCUGCAGGAGGACCCUGACAGUCUAAGGAAUCAGGGCUCCUGUGCCAGCGUGCAUCAUGAGCAUGCCUGAGGCAUGACCAAACAACUUUCGGACAGGUUUUGGAAAGUAAAGAGAUGAAUAAAAAAGGUCAGGCUUAGGAGGCAUGUCACCAGCAGCUAUUGCUCAAGCAGUCACUCAGCACUCCACUUCAGCAGCUGUCAGGGACUCGAAUGGAUACUUCCUCAGGUUCUAGUCUACCCACUCGCCAAAGCCUGUUGGGGUGAAUCGUUGGGACGAUGGUCCCCGCGUCCAAUAUGUGCAAUGUCAGAACUGAAAAUCCAAACAACCAUGCUAAAACUGAAAGCUCGCAGAAACUCUCAACAUUUCGCCAUCAUCUUCUCAGCCUCCCCCAUGAGGAACUAUGCCUAGUAACUGACUUUAUUUCGGUAUUGAUUUCUAUACUUGAGACAAGCUGAUCCUAAGGGACAAGGAUGUGGAGAGCAGAAGAUGGUCAGACGCAUGUGGGAGAAGAGGCUCCGUGGCUGGCCUGACAAUGACUCCAUGAAUAUAAGCAAGAAACUACUAUUCCUAUUUACAGAUUUCUGUGAAUCUACGUUGAAGGUCAUGUGUGCUCUUGCCUUGUGUGCUCUGAGCAAUUGUACAGGUGCACAAGCCGGAGAUAAAAGAUGCAGAAUAACUUGCAAAGCAUUAGGAAGAGGAGAAGCCAAGGGUUCAAAGCCAGGCAGCAGAGGAAAAGAGCAGAAAGGAUUGUCUCGGACAUGCCACCUGGAAGACUCUUUGUCUGUCCUCCCCGGUCCAAUGUCCUAUAUUGAUGGAAAAGUGAUUAAGCCUUCAAUACCACAUUCCAAAUUAUUAGAGACUGGAAGAAAAAUACCCAGGAGAAACUACUCUGUGCAUUGGUAUUUACCUGGUAUAGAGUGCACUUGGGGUUUAGAGUAGAAGGGUGAAGAGAGAACCAUGAAGGGAGAGUUAGGAGAGAAGAAAUGCUAAAACAGCAAGCCACAGCUCUGGGCCACAUCCAGCUAUACCAGGCAAAGCCAGACCUAAGCCCUUUACUCCAGCUUGUUGAAA